UCUGGGAGGAGCCUGAGGAGACACAGAGCCCAUGCAGCCUAGACCAGCCCACAUUCCUCAGCUGGCCUGGAUGUGGUGAGCAUGCUCAAUGCUCAACCGGAAGCUAAGCCCUGCUCCAAGGAGCCUCAGCUGCCAUCUGUGCCGGCAGACUUUGGCCUGUGUCUCAGAAGCAAAAGCCUUUCAACUAGGCCACAGCACUGGAAGCAAAGUUUGUCUGUAAGUCCUUCAAAGAACCGGAAUAACCAUUGGUGGCUGGCUCUGCAUCCCUAAGGGCAGUCCUGCCUUGGGAAGGUGAGUCAGUAUUCCAACAGCUUUCCAUUAAAAAAAAAACAACCCUUUCUUCCCCAUCCAUGCUGGUUGAGGAAUAUUUAGGAAAUGCCCCCACCCCAAACACAAAGAUAAUUAAAAUGACCUAAUCCCACCACUGAGAAUCAGCAUCAAGUAACUCAAGGAUAGAUUUCCUGAUUAACCUGCUGUGGACAUACACAGGGUCUCUUUGACAGCCUGAGAUCUUAGUGGCCCUGCUCUAGGCCAGCUCUCGCCUUUAAGCCUGUACCUUGUGUCUUUAUGAGACUAGGUCAGCUGGGUUCCAUUUCUCCUGAGGAGGCCAGCGUAUGCCAACACUUGUGAUAUCUGGGAUCUUGGCUUUGCAGCUGAGAGUUCUUUCCUCUUCGCUCACCUUCGCUCUCUAUCACACGAUUGGGAUCAACGAAGAUCUCUCUUCCGGGAUGCAGGGACACAAAUGCAUACCCAGCCUAUGCUAUGCCUCCGGGCCUUUGUUCAGUUCUCUUUGCCUGAGCUCCAUACCCUCCUGCUUUUCUCUGUUUCUGACAUACAUGCAUAUGAUUAAAAGAAAUCUCAGCCUGACAUGGGGUGCACACCUUUAAUCCCAGCACUCCAGAGGCAGUUGUAGGGGGCUAAUCUCUGUGAAUUUGAUGUCAGACUGGCCUACAUAGUGAGUUCCAGGCCAGGCACAGCCUACCUCAGUCUCCAAACAGAUGAAACAAAACAAACAAACAAAUGAACAAACAAACAAACAAACAAAAACCAAAGCCCAAAGCAAAUCAAAUUGUACAAAUUCCCCAAAGCAUAGAGUAGGCUAGAGGUACAGCUCAGUGGUCCAAGGUUUGCUUUCCAUGCCUUAGACCCCCAGCACUGCAGAAGAGGAGCCAUUGAGAUGGCUCACAAGGUAAAAAGAGUGUGUCCCAAAGCCUGACAAGUAGAGUUUGGUCCCCAGAACCCACAUGCUGGAAGAGAAAACAAAGGUCUGACUUCCACCCAUGUACCAUGACACGUGUAUGCCCACACAGAUACACAGAUGCACACACACCAGUAAAAAAUGUAAUAAACUUUCUAUAAAGAAAAGAAGGACGAGUGGGAGGAGGAGGAAGGGGGAGAGAAAGACUAGCCAAGCACAUGGUGAAAAGUGAGGACCCUCGCUGCUAACCCUGUUCUCUGCUCCUGGCUCUAUGUCUUUCCAGGACUCUACAGCUCACUAAGCACUGAUACUUAUAUAUCUCUUUGUGAAAUAUGAUCAUUUAUAGAAUGGCCCACUGUGCUGCACCUGGCUUUUGUAACUUGCAGACUUCUGGAGACUGAUACAGCAGUCUGAAGGGGCUCCCUCACAGGCUGGAGACAGGCUGCCCAAUAAACCCUCUAAUGGCUGUGUCAUAAUUUAUUUAACUAGGCCCCCAGUGAUGGACAUUUAAACACUUGUUCUUCUUGAGACUACAAACAAAGCAACAAUAAAUACCCUUGUACAAA
rnacentral:sRNA from 1 species